AAUUGAACUUUCCAUUUUCCUAACUUUCAACUUGCAAUUGAAUGACACUGAUUCUACUAGGAAAAAAGUAAAAGCUAUACUAUUUGAUGCCAGAUGUAUGACUGUGGGCUGAUGAGGAAGAACUGGAAACAAAUGACAGGUGAUUCACUGCUUUGUGUCUGGUGUGCCAUGACUCUCUUGAAGGGGGGCAGUGUUGAUCUGAAUCUUUUUGUCUAAUGCUUUUUCUUCCUCUGGGAGGGAUGCUGAAGAGGGGCAGCUGAAGGAGCAGUCUUAAGCAAAUUGGUCAUGGCUUUCUUAAAUAUUGUGAUUCGAUUGAUAUGGAACAUUUUUUCAGUCUGUGAGAGACUUUUCAUUAUGGACUAGCUCAUAAAAAACCGUAGAUUUAAUUUGCCCAGGCUGUUGGUUCUCUUGUGUUUGUUAUCAUACGUCAGCAUGAAACCUUUGGCCUUUGUGGAAGCCUUGUGGAGACCACUGAACAGACUUGGAGCCAUAUCUGACUCGCCUGCCAGCAUUCCUGAUGUUCAGUGCCUGUUAUUGCCCCUCUCCAUGGCAUUCUCCUCUGUGGUUAUGUGAAAGGAAAAUAAAUCACUAAGCCAAGGGAAAAAUCAAACUGGGAGCUAUGUCAGGCAAACCUGCCUCCCAUUUUAUUCCUAAAUAACAUAGCUACAUACCUCCCUCGCAAUUUGCCACAGAUCCUCGUCCACAAGGAAAUUCACUGUGGACAAAGGACAGACAGAACUCAAAGUCAUCCCUCUGAGACUCACCUGAGACAAAUGCAUAUCUGAUUGCUUCCUUUUUUAUCUUGGUAGCAAGGUAGCAAGACUUUUCCAAUGCAGGAAGCUUCAGUGCUUUCAUUUAUAUUCUGAUGUAAGUUAUCUUAUUGCAGACCGGUAACAAACACUGUCUUCACAGCCAUUUGAGCCUUAGGUAUGAAUGGAGCAGCUUUGGGUGGAGGGAUAUCUCCAUGACUGGGUGGGAAAAGGUCCAGAAAGACAACAUUGGAGUCACCAAAUACUAACUGUUCACUAGGCUUGGCUGUUAUAAAAGCUGCCAAAAUUCAUGCUUAUGGUUUGACUGGAUUUCUUUUCUCUGCUUAGUAUGCCCUUCAGUAGAAGUGCCAAAAAAAAAAAAAAAAAGACAAACCCAGUUAUAUAGCCCAAAGAAGAGGAUUAAGUUAGUUAUCUGCAGCCUCUGGAUUGACUGUGAAGUCUGUUUGAAAAUGGGAGUGUUGGCCAGUAAAAUGUUUCCCUAAAAAACUCGAAGCUGAGGCCGGGCGCAGUGUCUCACGCCUGUAAUCCCAGCACUUUGGGAGGCUGAAGCGGGUGGAUCAUGAGGUCAGGAGAUCGAGUUUUUUUUUUUUUUUGUAUUUUUUUGUAGAGACAGGAUCUUGCUAUAUUGCCCAGGCUGGUCUAGAACUCCUGAGUUCAAGCCAUCCUCCUGUCUCAGCAUCCCGAAAUGCUGGGAUUACAGGUGUAAGCCACAGUGCCCAGCCUCAUGUUCUUCAUACUCUAUUACUACCCACCUCCUCCAUACCUUGCUGGUCUUAAAGUGGAAGUGAUGUUAGGCUUUAGAAUUUCUGACAUCAGAUAGUUGUUGCUGGAAGAAUAGUGAGUUCAAUCUACAAAGGAUCCUUUUCUGCAUGUUAGGAGAACUAGAUCGGAGGGCAGUUCCUGGUGGCGCCCACUGUGCCUUACCACUCCUGGGAUUCGUUUCACUUAUUCCUCUUCCCUGCUUCCCUUCAUUUCCCUGCCUUUCUUUUCUAUUCUUUGUUUUUCUUUUUGCUUUUCUCUUCUGCUAAUACAUAGGUUUUACUCUCAUGGUCUGAGCUCUGACUUCAGAGCUAAAGCAUUCUUUGUCAUUGGCACGAGCAGUGGCCAGACUCCAAGUACCUCUGAGUCUGCAGAGGAGGUGCAAUAAGCAUACCCAUUAAGCCACCAAAUUGAAAAGUAUUUGGAGGAAAUUGCUCCAGCAGUAGAUUCUAUGCUCCAUGUUAGGGGGCAGUGAGAAAAUCCCACAUAAAGUAUAAUAUACAACUUAGUAAACUACAGUAAAGCUGGAGGGAGUUUUGGUUUAGGACAUAGAUACGUGUUCUGGGACUCAGUGUUAGAAGCUGUCUGUCUGUAAGAAUCUUGCUGUCUCUGCCUCAUGAAAACAAUUGCAGUGAUGAGAACCAGUUACUAAUGGCAUACAUCACACAUUUCAGAGUCCUGGGGAUCAGAUACCCUAAUUGGGUCUCACAGGUGUGUUAGCCAGACAAAACCAGUAGGAUAUAGGUAUAUAUAAAAGGGAGUUAAUUAGGGAGAAUUGGCUCACACGAUUACAAGGGGAAAUCUCACAAUAGGCUGUCUGCCUGCUGGGGAAAGAAAAAAGCCAGUAGCAUGACUUUUGUUUUGAAUAAAAUAUGGGUGUAUAACUCAGGAGAAGGUUCAGAGUUAAAGCUGUAGAUUUGGGAGCUAAGGUCUCCAGAAUGAAGCAGGAUACAGAGUUUAUGGUUUACUCAUUAGUUAGUCAUGUGCCAGUCAAUCUGAUGAACCAGGGGAUUCUCCACUUUAGCCACACAUUAGAGUCAUCUAGGAAGCUUUAGAAAAUGGUGAUGCUUGUGACUUACACCCAAAGAUUCUGAUUUAAUUGGUCUGAAAUGUAGACUGGGCAUUGGGACUUUUGAAAGCUCCCCAGGGGUGAUUUUAAUUUGGAGACAAGAUUGAGAGCCACUGUUGAUCAACACACACACACACACACACACACACACACACACACAGUGAAAUGUUGAUAAGCCGAGGUAUAGAUGAGAAUCCCAAACUGAGACAGCUUAAGAAAUGUCCAGAGUCUUGUAACAAGUGAAAAUGUCAUAUGUCAUGAGGUCAUGUUGGAAAACCUUAAAGAGGAUAAAAGAUCUUCCACAAGCAACAGUUCCCCAUCUGCUGUGAUUAUAAGUUUUCUGAGGCCUCCUCAGCC
rnacentral:lncRNA from 1 species